UGUGUCUAUGUGUGUGGAGAACUUAUCACCAACGACCAAUGUCACGGAUGCGCUCAUGAUCCAUGGUGAGAUCUACACGACUUACUUGAAGCACCGGGAUAUGAAUUCAUCGAAAUCGACAAAGGAAAAGAGAGCGCUUUUAGUGCUCUCUGGGUCCAUAUCAACGGGCAAUUAGUAUGGAUCUGGAGCAGACAUCCCAAAGAUUGACAGUGGUGAGAAGCUCAAACAUCUCGCCCAGCACUCUGAACAACGAGUUUAUCAAUGCUUGCAAGUUGUGUGGCCAAGUCAAAGAGUGGAGUUGAGAUGGGAUAUGUGUUCUACCUGAGGAACAUGAUAAAAAUCCUUGAUAGAUAAAUUUCAAAGUUCUUCCAGGAAA